GAUGAACGCUGGCGGCGUGCCUAAUACAUGCAAGUCGAGCGAAUGGAUUAAGAGCUUGCUCUUAUGAAGUUAGCGGCGGACGGGUGAGUAACACGUGGGUAACCUGCCCAUAAGACUGGGAUAACUCCGGGAAACCGGGGCUAAUACCGGAUAACAUUUUGAACCGCAUGGUUCGAAAUUGACAGGCGGCUUCGGCUGGCCCUUAUGGAUGGACCCGCGUCGCAUUAGCUAGUUGGUGAGGUAACGGCUCACCAAGGCAACGAUGCGUAGCCGACCUGAGAGGGUGAUCGGCCACACUGGGACUGAGACACGGCCCAGACUCCUACGGGAGGCAGCAGUAGGGAAUCUUCCGCAAUGGACGAAAGUCUGACGGAGCAACGCCGCGUGAGUGAUGAAGGCUUUCGGGUCGUAAAACUCUGUUGUUAGGGAAGAACAAGUGCUAGUUGAAUAAGCUGGCACCUUGACGGUACCUAACCAGAAAGCCACGGCUAACUACGUGCCAGCAGCCGCCGUAA
rnacentral:rRNA from 1 species